UGCCCAUGCUGGCCUCCUCACUGCUCCCACAUGGAAAUUUGACUGGAGGGCUGGGUUCAAACUUGAAUCUCAGCUGAGCCCCUUCAAAUCUGUUCUGAGCUAAUACACAAGCUGUGGGUUCAGCAUGUGAAAGGAGUACUCAGUGUUCAGAAGCAGUUAAAUUCCUUCUCCUCCCCAGCACCAUCUGACAAGGUGGGACAGACCUGCCAGGAGAAAUGGCCCAGCAAGAGAACACGCAGGCUUUCCCCACGUCUCCACCCCAUCCACAGGAAGUGCAAAGAUGCAUAACCCAGGGACUCCUAAAGACCUAGGAAGGAUCACCAAGGCAAGAGACCCAGCAUUCCUGUCACCUCAGUGUGGACCACCAGUAU
rnacentral:lncRNA from 1 species